CCUGACCACGGUGGACAACGGCCCUCGACCCGCACAUGUCAACAGCUGAUUUUGGCAGGUGUGUUGGAGCAGCGUGCAGGUGUAUAAGGGGUAGCCUGCAGAAAUCAAAAUGUUCGGCUCAUCAGACUUGGAUGAUGAGUCGAGUCAGGCUUUGGUACAAACACUUAAAGUAGACUGGUUAGAUAUGUCGUUUAUGGGGUGUCCACAGAGUGUUGCACUCAGUGGUCUCCCUGGCUGUCGUUUUAGGAACGUAUAUCAAAAUCUUCACAUGGACUUGAAAAGUGCAGUGGCCUGUUGGACCACCUGGACAGCGAGGCGCGAGAGUUGGAAGUGUUUCCAGCAUUACGUCAGAUACUCCUCUGCCGCAGAUUUGGAAGAUUUGCAAUAUUGUGGGUUGUAGAAGGUCCUUCCAAGAUAACUUCAGGAACAGUUGCAGAACAAUCGCUGGAAGUGUUAAAUGCUACAGAAAGUAGCAUAGUUGUCAGAAUUAGAGGGCCAAAAAUAUUGAUGGGAAAGUCGACCUUCAGCCCUGAGUUUGAAGGUGUUAAUUGCUUGACAUUCUGAAUUAGGUGGUAUGGAAGAUUACAAUGUCAUCAAAGCAUUGACUGGCUUCAGUGUGGUUGUUCUACUCUGCAAAUCUACGAAAGUUGGUUGUGGGAAGCUGCUCCUCCUAGAUGCAAUCCACUGAAGACUCAAAGAUCAACAAAAGGCCAGGGAAAACCAGAGUACCAAGGACAACAUCCACCUGUAAAGAAAAAAUAAAGUAUAUCAAACAGG